GAUGAACGCUGGCGGCGUGCCUCAAACAUGCAAGUCGAGCGGGGCUAUGUAAUAUCGCAAGGUAGAACAUAGCCUAGCGGCGAACGGGUGAGUAACACGUGGGUAACCUGCCUGGAAGACAGGGAUAACGAUUCGAAAGGGUCGCUAAUACCUGAUAAUAUCCUUUCAUCGCAUGGUGAUAGGAAGAAAGGGGAAACCCGCUUUCAGAUGGGCCCGCGUCCCAUCAGCUAGUUGGUAAGGUAAAGGCUUACCAAGGCGACGACGGGUAGCCGGUCUGAGAGGAUGUACGGCCACACUGGGACUGAGAUACGGCCCAGACUCCUACGGGAGGCAGCAGUUGGGAAUCUUAGGCAAUGGACGAAAGUCUGACCUAGCGACGCCGCGUGAGGGAAGAAGGCCUUCGGUUGUAAACCUCUGUCAUGGGGAAGAAGGAAGUGACGGUACCCAACGAGGAAGCCCCUGCUAACUACGUG
rnacentral:rRNA from 1 species